rnacentral:ncRNA from 2 species
CAACCAUCCAGAGCGGCUGAGAGACCUGGCUCGACGACGCCGCAGCAACCCGGAACCGCAUGCACAUGCCGGGUGCUCACGCCGGGAACGAUGGAGG